rnacentral:misc_RNA from 1 species
GACGAACCGUGCGAACGUUGUUCGGAAUCACUGGGCUUAAAGGGCGCGUAGGCGGCUUGUCAAGUCGGGGUGAAAUUUUUCGGCUUAACCGGAAAAGUGCCUUCGAUACCGAUAAGCUAGAGCGAGGUAGGGGCGGAUGGAACUUCCGGUGGAGCGGUGAAAUGUGCUGAUAUCGGAAGGAACGCCGGUGGCGAAAGCGAUCCGCUGGACCUCUUCUGACGCUGAGGCGCGAAAGCUAGGGGAGCAAACGGG